UACAGAGGGUGCGAGCGUUAAUCGGAAUGACUGGGCGUAAAGGGCGCGUAGGCGGUUUGUACAGUCAGAUGUGAAAUUCCUGGGCUCAACCUGGGGGCUGCAUUUGAUACGUGCGGACUGGAGUGGGGAAGAGGGUCGUGGAAUUCCCAGUGUAGAGGUGAAAUUCGUAGAUAUUGGGAAGAACACCGGUGGCGAAGGCGGCGACCUGGUCCUUGACUGACGCUGAGGCGCGAAAGCGUGGGGAGCAAACAGG
rnacentral:rRNA from 1 species